AUACGGAGGGUGCAAGCGUUAUUCGGAAUCACUGGGCGUAAAGGACGCGUAGGCGGGUUGGCAAGUCAGAUGUGAAAUCCUACAGCUUAACUGUAGAACUGCACUUGAAACUGCUAACCUAGAGUAUGGGAGGGGGGGAUGGAAUUAGUGGUGUAGGGGUAAAAUCCGUAGAUAUCACUAGGAAUACCGAAAGCGAAGGCGAUCUCCUGGAACAUAACUGAUGCUAAGGCGUGAAAGCGUGGGGAGCAAACAGGAUUAGAAACCCUAGUAGUCC
rnacentral:rRNA from 1 species